GACGAACGCUGGCGGCGUGCCUAAUACAUGCAAGUCGAACGCACUCUCGUUUAGAUUGACGGAGUUUGCUCCUGAUUGAUCAACAUUUGAGUGAGUGGCGGACGGGUGAGUAACACGUGGGUAACCUGCCCUAAAGUGGGGGAUAACAUUUGGAAACAGAUGCUAAUACCGCAUAAAACCUAACACCGCAUGGUGUAGGGUUGAAAGAUGGUUUCGGCUAUCACUUUAGGAUGGACCCGCGGUGCAUUAGUUAGUUGGUGAGGUAAAGGCUCACCAAGACCGUGAUGCAUAGCCGACCUGAGAGGGUAAUCGGCCACACUGGGACUGAGACACGGCCCAGACUCCUACGGGAGGCAGCAGUAGGGAAUCUUCCACAAUGGACGAAAGUCUGAUGGAGCAACGCCGCGUGAGUGAAGAAGGUUUUCGGAUCGUAAAACUCUGUUGUUGGAGAAGAAUGUAUCUGAUAGUAACUGAUCAGGUAGUGACGGUAUCCAACCAGAAAGCCACGGCUAACUACGUG
rnacentral:rRNA from 1 species